ACAGUACGGUUUGAUCGCAGAGGAGUUAGAACGUAACAAAUAUGUUAAAAAACAAACUUUAUUAGUGUUUUAGUGCGUGUUAGUGUUAAUAUGUGUUGUGUGGUGUAGUUUAGUGAUUUUGGCAUAUAAGGGAUUUGUUUGAAGAUGGCAGAAAUAAUCCCGAACCGCCGUAAAUUCGCUACUAUGGUCACCGAGCCGAACCCCCUCAUCAUUCUUCUGAUCCUGGCGAUUCUGGGGCUAUGCUCGACCCAGGUCAUCAACAGAGCUCCUCACUUCGUGCCACAAGCUGGGGAUAUGUCUCAACUCAGUUUACCUGAGGAUACUCCUGUUGGCACACCAGUUUAUCAGCUUCAAGGCAUAGACCCGGAGAACAGCCAGCUGAGGUACUCCAUAUCGGGGCAGUUCUUCACUGUGGACUCGCUUACCGGCGUGGUCACGUUGGCUAAGAAGCUGGACCGAGAAGAACAACCUUCACUGGAAGUCAUCAUAAGUAUUACAGAUGAAGGCAUCGCCAACACAGACCCCAAUACGGUGUCCCUCCGGAGAGUGAUCCCAGUGAAGGACGUGAACGAUAACCCACCUGUGUUCCACAACAGGCCGUACAUACUCAACAUUAGCGAAGCGACUCCUGUGGGAAGCGAGGUUGAGCUGAACCCAAAAAUUAUAGUGACAGAUCGCGACGAAGGUCACAACGCCGAGAUCAAGGUCACCUGCUCUACCAAAGAGAGGGGCAGCGAUGCAGAGGCCUGUGCUACCUUCAGAGUCGUUACUGACAUGAUCUCUCCAAACGAGUACCAAGCCCGUCUCUUUAUCCAACGCCCGCUAGACUACGAGAGUCGUUCAGCGUACGUGCUAAGUCUAGAAGCUGCCGACGUCUCAGACCGGCCUUUGCGCGCCUUUGCCAGCGUGGCGGUCGCUGUAAGGGACGUACAGGACCAACCGCCAGUGUUGAUCAACGCGCCAUAUUCGGCUACAGUGCCAGAAAAUACUCCACCGAACACCAGCAUAAUGGAAAUAGUAGCCAAAGACGGUGACACAGCGCACCCACGACCAGUCCUACUGACCCUGGAAGGAGACACUGAGCAGUACUUCAAGCUGUUACCAGAGAGGCCUAUUGGAAGAGCUGUGCUGGUCGCAUCUGACAACCCUAUCGAUAGGGAGAGCGAUGUCGUUAUACAGAAUGGAGGGGUUUAUAACUUCUUUGUUAAGGCUACAGAACUGAUAAACAACGAAGUGCCAUCUGACUACACAGUCACGCCAAUAACUAUAGUAGUAACCGAUGUUGAUGACCAUAUACCUAAAUUUAAUAAACACCAAUUUGAUAUUUCAAUCCCUGAAAAUAUAGAAAACGGAAGCCCUAUACCGGGUCUAUCUAUUUAUGUUGAAGAUAAUGAUAUUGGGCAAAACAGCAGAUAUGAUUUGUAUUUACGAGAUGUUUUUAAUUCUGAAGGAGUGUUUUCAAUAAGCACAGAUCAUGGAGAAGGCAGAACCCCAAUUAGUAUAAAAGUAAAAGAUUCUUCUCGACUUGAUUAUGAUGUCGAUGAUGACGAUAAAAGACUUUUUAGUUUCGAUAUAGUAUCAUCUGUUGGUAAUAUAGAACUGAGUUCAGCAAGAGUUAAUAUAAAGCUUUUAGAUAUGAAUGAUAAUUCACCUAUAUUUGAUCAAACAAGUUAUAAAUUUAAUGUUUAUGAAAAUGCUCCCAUUGGAAGCCUGAUUGGUGAUGUAGCAGCUACAGAUAAGGACUAUGGUAUUUUUGGUGAAAUCGAAUACUCACUUACUGGUUUUGGAUCUCAUUUAUUUAAAACUGACAAAAACAAGGGGAAUUUAUAUGUUGGUCAAUUACUUGAUUAUGAAAAGCAGAAGAGUUACAGCUUGACGCUUAUAGCGAAGGAUGGUGGAGGUAAACUCAGUACUACUAGUGUGUAUAUUGAAGUUCUGGAUGUGAAUGAUAACGCUCCUGUCUUUGAAGCUCCUGAAUAUAGUAGAACUAUAAGAGACGGAGCUACUAGUUUUGAACCACAAUUUGUUGUUACCGCUACAGACGCAGAUGGUCCAUCGCAAGGAGGUGGUCGUAUCAAAUAUUCUCUUGAAUCCGAUAAUAGCAUCACUCACAAAGGCAAUGUAUUCUCCAUUGAUGAAGAUACUGGUGAGAUUGUGAUUCUUGAAAAGGUUGAAACUAUGGAUACACCUAGAGGACAAUACGAACUUGUUGUAAGAGCAACUGAUUAUGGUAAACCUCCUCUUCACAACGAAACUCGGGUCUACAUAAGAGUUGGAGUACCUGGCAACCAGCGCCCCACUUUCAAGGGCAACUAUCACCACUACAAAUACACCGUCAACCAGCAACCAGACAUAAAUGAAGACUUCACUUUUGAGCUCAAUCCGAUGAACUAUAAAGCUAGUAUCAAAGAAGAUGCUAAGCCUGGACAAAAUGUCACAAUGGUUGUGGCGAAUGACCCGGAUGGGUUGGAUGAUCUUUUGACAUAUCAUAUUGUAUCUGGAUCUAAAGAUAACUUCGUUAUUAACGAAAAGACUGGUCUUAUAACAGUAUCAAACGAUGCAAAUUUAGAUCGAGACGUCAACGCAGACCGAUACGAGAUCAUAGUCUCCGCAGUUGAUAGCGGAAUGCCCAUCCCAGAAACUGCAACCACAACAGUAUUCGUCACCAUCCAGGAUGUCAAUAAUAAACCUCCUAAGUUCAACACCACUGAAUCAACCACUUACAUUUCAGAGAAAACUAAAAUUGAUGCCGUUGUUACACAACUAGUCGCCCACGAUACUGAUGUAAACUCAGUUCUUAAGUACAGUAUAAUUGAUCCCAUAAAAGCUUUUUCAAAAGCUGGUGUCCAAUUGAAACCUAACGCACAAUAUGACUAUAAACACAUUUUCCGUAUCAAUGAAGAUACAGGUGAAAUUGUAGUCAAUGGUACAUUAGAUUAUAGUCAAGCUUCGAUAAUCAUUCUGACUGUAAAAGUAGUCGAUAUAAAUGCAGAAGUUGAAAUAGAUAAACAAUUUGAUAUUGUUGAACAUACCAUUUAUAUCCAACCGUAUGCUGAUAAGAAUCCACAGUUCACAAAUCCUGGUUGGUCAACUUCGCACCCUAUAAUUUAUCAUAAGAUCAAAGAAGAACAGCCCAUAGGAAGCACAGUUUUGGUGUUGAUAGCUGAAGAUCCAAUAUCUGGACAUUUAGUGUCAGGAUUCAAAGUAGUAAAUUCCGAAACAGGUCUGUUACAAGUAGACCCACUAAGUGGCCAAGUGGUUUUAACUAAGCAUCUUGAUUACGAAGAACUGACAACACCAAAUUUGACUUUAACUGUGAAGGCAACGAGUAAUGAUGGAAGUAAACAUACGAUGGCGAAGGUCAUUAUUGAAGUUAUAAAUUUGAAUGAUAAUCCUCCGAAAUUUGAUAAAGAGCUCUACAAAGUUAGCGUCCUAGAAUCAAUAAAGGACGAAGAACAAAUUUUGACAGUUACUGCUACUGAUGCAGAUGCAGUUUUAACUGAAGAAGAUAAAAGGAAAGGCUUUUCCGAUAUACGGUACACGUUAAGAGGGGAAAACUCAGAUCUCUUCUCGAUUAAUAAUGUUACUGGAGUUAUUAGGCUCGCUCCAAAUAAAACUUUAGACCGCGAACGCCAAUCCGUCCUCAGACUUGAGAUAGAAGCAGUGGACAUGCCCAAAGGAGGUGCUGAACGCCUCAAGACUACUGCCGCGAUACUCAUCGACGUCUUGGAUGUUGAUGAUAAUGCUCCUACAUUCGAAAAGGCUGUGUACACUGCGGUGGUCCCUGAAAAUGUUCCAGUGGGUAUCAGUGUGAUCAAUAUCACUGCCAGCGAUCCUGAUGAAGGUCUUGGAGGGGAAGUCAAGUAUGAACUGUUAGAUGAAGGUGAAGCUAAUGGUUUGUUCACAAUCGACAUAAACACCGGCGAGAUCAAAUCCCGUCGCGACCUGACCGGGCGCGGACGCACGGAUCCGUACCGGAUUCUUAUCGGAGCCACGGACGGCGGCGGACACAACGCGGACACGUCGCUGUCGCUGUACAUCGGAGACGUGUCGGCCAACGACGGCGUGCCGCACUUCAUCCGGCCCGCGUCCGGCGAGCGGCUCAGCGUGAGCGAGAACGCAACGAUAGGCUCUCCAGUGUUCCAGGCAGUGGCAAGUGAUCCUGACGACCCGACGCAACCGUCAGGGCGCUUACUCUACUCCAUACAACAGACGAAUGCCGACGCUAAGGUGUUUGCUAUAGAUCCCCAGUCCGGCUUGAUCACAACUCGCCAGUCACUAGACCGGGAGCGCAAGGCCUCGUACACACUAGUGCUCCUCGUCACAGAUCGAGGUUCCCCUCCUCAGCAGACUACCAGGAUCGUCACCGUGGAUGUCACUGAUGUGGACGAUCAUAAGCCACACUUUGCUAGGAACUUGGACGAUCCACCUGUCCUCUUGACCACCAAAGAGGAGAUACCAGUCGGUACCGUAAUCGGAGAGCUACAAGCCAUAGAUGAGGAUAUAGGGGACAACGCAGCUAUCGACUAUGCUAUCACAGCCGGCAACGACCUCGGUCUGCUCAAACUCGAACGGACCAACGACAGCAAAGCCCUCAUAAAAGCGGCCGCCCGUAUCGACAGAGAGGCCAUUGCGAGGAUAAUCAUCACUGUCAAGUGCUUCAAGCACGGAACCAAGCCUCGACUGAGUAAGGCGUAUAAUCGAUUGGACCCUUCAGAAACGCAAGCGCUAAUCAAGAUUCUGGACAUAGACGACCACCUCCCGCAGUUCGAGAGUGCCAACAUGACAGUAGGAGUCCGUUUGAACGUGCCUAUUGACACUGUCAUAGCCACUGUCAAGGCUGUUGACAAGGAUCCAGACGCGUUACCUGUUCAGUAUCAAUUCGUGAACAUGAGUUUCGAGUCACCGAUCCGUGCUCGGUCGUCCAACAACGUUUCUGACGUCAUCUCACUCAACAAUCACACGGGGGAACUAAGGAUCAUGAAGAACCUCAUUCACUACGCUGAUGGCAUAUUCCGAUUAACCGUCCGUGCUAAUAAUUCUGGAGAUCCUGAGAGAUAUAGUGACAUCUUAGUUGAGGUGGUAGUAGUCCGAGAACGAGAUUUACUACGUCUAGUAGUCAGCGCUCGCCUAGUACCAGCGCUGCGCGCGCGGGUAGCAGAAGCAGUCGCCCCUAAAGGCCUAAGACUACAGUUGCAACGAGGCCGCUGCCUUCCACGACACUCCGGGACCUUGCUUUCAAUUCCGGAAAACCGACACGGGCGAAGCUUUAACCCCGAAAGCCAUGAAGGCCGUCAUCCGCUCCCUCGGAACCGAAUUCCAGCAGAUCUUACAAACCUAUGACGUCCACAACAUAACCAGUUGUGGUGUGUCACGGGCGACACACACGCCAGCGCAACAUGCCUUGUUAGCGUUAGCUGGGGUGUUGCCUAUAGGUGCUCUGAUAGCUGCAUUAGUUUUGUGCUGUAUGCAUUCUAAUGCCAAACAACGAGCCCGAUCAGCACUUUUACUAUCUCGGGAGCCCCCCACCGCCAGUAACAUCUCCGCACCUCCGACGUUACUAUACGCCGAGCCGCUCUACAGAACUUGAUAUAGCAGUGUACGAUUCAGCGGCCCAUUGUA
rnacentral:misc_RNA from 1 species